rnacentral:rRNA from 1 species
AUGAACGCUGGCGGCGUGCCUCAUACAUGCAAGUCGAGCGAACAGACGAGGAGCUUGCUCCUUCGACGUUAGCGGCGGACGGGUGAGUAACACGUAGGUAACCUACCUAUAAGACUGGGAUAACUUCGGGAAACCGGAGCUAAUACCGGAUAAUAUUUCGAACCGCACGGUUCGAUAGUGAAAGAUGGCUUUGCUAUCACUUAUAGACGGACCUGCGCCGUAUUAGCUAGUUGGUAAGGUAACGGCUUACCAAGGCAACGAUACGUAGCCGACCUGAGAGGGUGAUCGGCCACACUGGAACUGAGACACGGUCCAGACUCCUACGGGAGGCAGCAGUAGGGAAUCUUCCGCAAUGGGCGAAAGCCUGACGGAGCAACGCCGCGUGAGUGAUGAAGGUCUUCGGAUCGUAAAACUCUGUUAUUAGGGAAGAACAAACGUGUAAGUAACUGUGCACGUCUUGACGGCACCUAAUCAGAAAGCCACGGCUAACUACGUG